rnacentral:rRNA from 1 species
UACGGGGGGGGCAAGCGUUGUUCGGAAUUACUGGGCGUAAAGGGCUCGUAGGCGGCCAACUAAGUCAGACGUGAAAUCCCUCGGCUUAACCGGGGAACUGCGUCUGAUACUGGAUGGCUUGAAUCCGGGAGAGGGAUGCGGAAUUCCGCGUGUAGCAGUGAAAUGCGUAGAUAUGCGGAGGAACACCGAUGGCGAAGGCAAUCCCCUGGGCCUGCACUGACGCUCAUGCACGAAAGCGUGGGGAGCAAACAGG